rnacentral:rRNA from 1 species
UACGAAGGGGGCGAGCGUUGUUCGGAAUUAUUGGGCGUAAAGAGCUCGUAGGCGGUUUGUCGCGUCUGCUGUGAAAACCCGAGGCUCAACCUCGGGCCUGCAGUGGGUACGGGCAGACUAGAGUGCGGUAGGGGAGAAUGGAAUUCCUGGUGUAGCGGUGGAAUGCGCAGAUAUCAGGAGGAACACCGAUGGCGAAGGCAGUUCUCUGGGCCGUAACUGACGCUGAGGAGCGAAAGCGUGGGGAGCGAACAGG